rnacentral:lncRNA from 1 species
UGUAUACAAGUAAGUGGUCUAUUAUCCUCAGAGAAAUAAAUAGAUAAAUUCAGUGACUGCUGUUGCCCAGCAUUGGUGAAUGAAAAGGCAGAUUCAUAGAGAUCACGGUGUCCUCACUCACCUUAUUCACCAGCUCUGGCACCAUGAAGUUUCUGUCUUUUCUCUAAAGCCAACAAGAUCGUGAAAGGUGCAUGAUAGCCAUGGGAUCCACUGAUCAACUUGCAUUCAAAAUCCAGUUACAUUAUUUUCCAUUAGGGAUGGCCUGGAUCCUGCCAUGUAAAUCAAAGAAGAGAGGGUCUGACUCAGCCGCCUAGCCUGGGUCACCUGGAACCCAUUAUGAUACAGAAUCAUAAACACCUCCAUUUUCCCUUCGGAGAGAGACCAGAACCACUGAAGUUAAGCUACCUGCAUAAGAGUUGAGUGCGAUCAGCUGUACUUAAUCUUUAAAUGUCCAACCCACUGAUAACCUUUGGUUUGCUUUGAUAACUAUGAAAUAAAUUCUCACUGCAUUGGAUACCGGCAUUCUGGUUUCUAUUCAAGGCUGGGGUGCAGAUGUCAUGG